rnacentral:rRNA from 1 species
GACAGAGGGUGCUAGCGUUGUUCGGAAUUACUGGGCGUAAAGCGCACGUAGGCGGAUCUUUAAGUCAGGGGUGAAAUCCUGGAGCUCAACUCCAGAACUGCCUUUGAUACUGGGGAUCUCGAGUCCGGAAGAGGUGAGUGGAACUCCGAGUGUAGAGGUGAAAUUCGUAGAUAUUCGGAAGAACACCAGUGGCGAAGGCGGCUCACUGGUCCGGUACUGACGCUGAGGUGCGAAAGCGUGGGGAGCAAACAGG